AUGCAGGAAAGCAUGAGACAAGGAAAUACAGCCAUGUCUGAUUGUGGCUUUUACUCUGACUCACUCAGAAUGUUGCUGCCAUCUCCGAGCCCAGCCAGAGUGACACCUGCCAGGUCCUUCAAGAGUGACCCACCAGGAGCCACGGCUUGUGGUUCACAGACACUCCUUCAACUCAGAACACAUCAUCUCAGCGGGAAGUUAGAGCCCAGAAGAGAAUCUGAAGGACUCUCCGCUCAGCCUGAGGGGAAAUGGGAAGCGGUUUUCCCUCCGCCUGGAGAAGGAAACCCCGCGGUUCCGUGGGGGCAGCAGGCGUCUCCACUGGGAGACUCUCCACGCCGCUGGGACCUGCCUCACAAAUUCUUCUCCCGCAUAGGUGGUGACACAGUCUCAGCAGAUUUCCCUUCGCCGGACGAAAUGCCAGAGAGUCCCUUGACUUUACGGAGCACCCUAUUUAAUACGUAG
rnacentral:lncRNA from 9 species